rnacentral:pre_miRNA from 35 species
CAGUGCAGUCACCCAUAAAGUAGAAAGCACUACUAACAGCACUGGAGGGUGUAGUGUUUCCUACUUUAUGGAUGAGUGUACUGU